AGAGUUUGAUCCUGGCUCAGGACGAACGCUGGCGGCGUGCUUAACACAUGCAAGUCGAACGGAAAGGCCCCUUUGGGGGUACUCGAGUGGCGAACGGGUGAGUAACACGUGAGUAACCUGCCCUUGACUUCGGGAUAACUUCAGGAAACUGGGGCUAAUACCGGAUAGGAAUCCUUGCUGCAUGGUGGGGGUUGGAAAGCUUCGGCGGUUUUGGAUGGACUCGCGGCUUAUCAGCUUGUUGGUGGGGUAGUGGCUUACCAAGGCUUUGACGGGUAGCCGGCCUGAGAGGGCGACCGGCCACAUUGGGACUGAGAUACGGCCCAGACUCCUACGGGAGGCAGCAGUGGGGAAUAUUGCACAAUGGGCGGAAGCCUGAUGCAGCAACGCCGCGUGCGGGAUGACGGCCUUCGGGUUGUAAACCGCUUUCAGCAGGGGCGAAGCUUUUGUGACGGUACCUGCAGAAGAAGCACCGGCUAACUACGUGCCAGCAGCCGCGGUGAUACGUAGGGUGCGAGCGUUGUCCGGAUUUAUUGGGCGUAAAGAGCUCGUAGGUGGUUGAUUGCGUCGGAAGUGAAAACUUGGGGCUUAACCCUGAGCGUGCUUUCGAUACGGGUUGACUUGAGGAAGGUAGGGGAGAAUGGAAUUCCUGGUGGAGCGGUGGAAUGCGCAGAUAUCAGGAGGAACACCAGUGGCGAAGGCGGUUCUCUGGACCUUUCCUGACGCUGAGGAGCGAAAGCGUGGGGAGCGAACAGGCUUAGAUACCCUGGUAGUCCACGCUGUAAACGGUGGGUACUAGGUGUGGGGGUCCAUUCCACGGAUUCCGUGCCGUAGCUAACGCAUUAAGUACCCCGGCGUGGGGGAGUACGGCCGCAAGGCUAAAACUCAAAGGA
rnacentral:rRNA from 1 species